rnacentral:rRNA from 1 species
UAGUCAUAUGCUUGUCUCAAAGAUUAACCCAUGCAUGUCUCAGUAUACGCGUUUCAUUCCGAAACACCGAACGGGCCUCUAAAAAUCUUAUAGUCUCCAUGUGAUUUGUCUAUUUCCUGGAUAACCUGGGUAAUUCCAAACCCAACACCUGCCCCCAAACCCCCCUUUUUCGAAGGGUGGUGUUUUUUUAACACAAAACCACCCCGCCUUUCCCGUUUCCGAUUCAAUUGAUGUUAUCCAAACGAACGUCCUGAUGCGGGGGCAUUGAUUCUUUCAAGUUUCCGACCUAUCGCGUCUCGAGGAGGAGGUUAUGGCCCACCCGGGCCCUUGCGGGAGAGGGAAAAAUAGGGUCUUUUUCCGGGAGAGGGACCCUGAAACGGCCCCCCCACCUAUAAGGAGGGCAUGGGGCCCGCAAUUCCCCCAACCCCGAUCCGGGGAGGUGGGGACUAAAAAUACCGAGUCUGGCGCUUCGGGUCUUAGUAUUGGAAUGAGAACAAUCUUAAUCCCUUAGCAAGAACAUUGGC